CACUGAGUUCAAGCCCCACUGAGUUAAAAAAAAAAAAAAAAAGUGAAGACCUGAAGAAGCUACAACUAUAAUUUAAAAAAUGUUUUGACCAGUGUUAGAAGGAAAAAUUAAUUAACAAUUAUUAAGGAGUUAUGUGAUAUACACCAUGUGUAUUGCAUCUUAUUUAAUUAUCAAACAAUAUAUUUGCUAAAGCUGCCAUUCCCCCAUUUUCUGGAAGAAGAAACUGAGAUUACAUACUUCAUUAAACUUGGUCAACUUCUUGUAACUAAUACUAGUGCUUGGAUCAAGCCACAUAUGUUUGACUCUAGACCCUGUAUUCUCUUGAGGGCAUCACAUAAAGCUUUUCACUGCCCCUGCCCAAAAACAACUUUUGCUAAAUUGAUUCUUUGCUUCUUGAUCUGUAAAAGAAGGAUGUUGGCCUCUCUUAGUGAUCUCCAUGUUUUUAAUAAGCAAUAAAUAACAUUCACCACACAUAAUAGUUUCUCUGUUCUAUAUUCAUUAUUGCAAAACAACUAUGGCUCAGUGAUGCUUUGAACUUAGUUUCAAUUUCAUAAUUUAAAACACAUUUGUAUACAUAUGAAAAUACCAGUUGUGACAAGAGAAUAGAAAGCUUUGUUUUGAAAGUAAUUUGUAACUGACAGUUGACCAUAGACAUAUUGCAAAGGUGGGGGCCACAUACAGGGGUAAAAGUUGGCCUGGAGUUAUUUUUUUUUUUAUUUCUUUCUCUUGUAAAACAGUUGUAGCCAUUACACAUUCUUAUUGAAGUAGAAUUAACAUACAGUGUUACAUUCAUUUCAGAUGUACUAUAUGAUGAUUCAGCAAUUCUGUACAUUACUCAGUGCUUAUCAUGAUAAAUGUACUCUUAAUCACUCUCAUCUAUUUCACCCAUUCCCCUUCUCUACCUCCCCUCUAGUAACCACUAGUUUGUUCUUGUAUUUAAGAGUUUGGUUUUUUGUUUGUCUUUUUUUUAUUUGUUUGUGAUUCAAUAAUUUUAUACACUACUUAGUGCUCAUCACAAUAAAUGUACUUUAUUUCACCCAUUCCCAACCCACCUCUGUAACUACCAGUUUUUUCCUAUAUUUAAGAGUCUGGCUUUCUUUUUUGGGGGGAGGUCUCUUCUUUUUUCUUUGUUCAUUUGCUUUGUUUCUUAAAUUCUACAUAUGAGUGAAAUCACAUGGUAUUUGUCUUCCUCUGAUUUAUUUCACUUAGCAUUGUAUCCUCUAGGUCCAUCCAUGUUGUUGCAGAUGGUGAGAUCUCGCUUAUUUUUAUGUUCUUCCACAUUAUAUUUAUCCGUUCAUUAUGAAUGGACACUUGGGUUGCUUCUAUAUCUUGGCUAUUGUAAAUAAUGCUGUAAUAAACAUAAGGGUGCCUGAAGUCAUCUUAAAUGAACUCUAUUCAAAAGGACUGCCUAAUAAGCAAUGGGAUUCCAAAAGAGAGUCUAUGAAGACAUGAACCUGCUGAGAAUCAAAUCACAGUGAACUGUAGGUGAGAGAUGGCUACCAAUAAAUGGAGAGAGAAGUAAAUAGUCUGAGGAAUCCUACAAGGAACUGAAACACUGUGCAAGGGAAAAAACAAACAAACAAACAAAGCCCCAGCUUUGAUACCUGUCAAACUAGACAGCAAUGAUGGUGACCAAUAAAAGUACCAGCAGGCAGGAGUUUUCCUACACCCUCACCUCUCCACCAUCUUGAACCCUGUUGUGAUCAGAAUCAGUGCAAGUUAACAAUUGAUACAAAGAAAGACAAGUUGGGAAAAUAGAGGAAUAUCUAUCCAAGCCAUACUGUAUACUGCAGGCCUGCCUUCUGUUGCAUGACUGAUUAGCCUACAACACAACUGAAGAGGGAGAAGCCAUCAUGCCUCUAUGAUUAGACAAGUCUGAAGAUAAAAGCUUCACUGUGAGGAUAAUGGAACAAAGUGCUAGAAUGGGCCUGCACUCCCUUGCCUUUGACUUGUUGUGGAAGGAAAAUAAAAUGCUGUUACAAGUUUAAUCCACAGAGAUGGGCUUCUGUUUCCUGCAUUUCAAUACAUCACAGUUCAUAAAUUUAUAUAAUUGGCAAAAGUAUCCAUUUUAAAGAUUAACAGAUACCUAACUCUCAGUUAAAUCUCAGAAAAAUAGAUUUUUAAUCCAUUGUGAUUUUGAAAUUGAUCUCUCAGUCUUUCGGCCAUCAAACUAUUAAAUACAUUUAAACAUUGUUA